AGCGCUAGCUUACGUGGAGGCGCUGGUGGGAUACUACCAUAGCUGUGUUGGCUUUCUAACCCGCACUAAUUAUCGUGGUGGGAGACAGUGUCAGGCGGGCAGUUUGACUGGGGCGGUCGCCUCCUAAAAGGUAAAGGAGGCGCUCAAAGGUUCCCUCAGAAUGGUUGGAAAUCAUUCAUAGAGUGUAAAGUCAUAAGGGAGCUUGACUGCGAGACCUACAAGUCGAGCAGGGUCGAAAGACGGACUU
rnacentral:rRNA from 1 species